rnacentral:rRNA from 1 species
CUACGGGUGGCUGCAGUGGGGAAUAUUGCACAAUGGGCGCAAGCCUGAUGCAGCCAUGCCGCGUGUAUGAAGAAGGCCUUCGGGUUGUAAAGUACUUUCAGCGGGGAGGAAGGGAGUAAAGUUAAUACCUUUGCUCAUUGACGUUACCCGCAGAAGAAGCACCGGCUAACUCCGUGCCAGCAGCCGCGGUAAUACGGAGGGUGCAAGCGUUAAUCGGAAUUACUGGGCGUAAAGCGCACGCAGGCGGUUGGUUAAGUCAGAUGUGAAAUCCCCGGGCUCAACCUGGGAACUGCAUCUGAUACGGGCAAGCUUGAGUCUCGUAGAGGGGGGUAGAAUUCCAGGUGUAGCGGUGAAAUGCGUAGAGAUCUGGAGGAAUACCGGUGGCGAAGGCGGCCCCCUGGACGAAGACUGACGCUCAGGUGCGAAAGCGUGGGGAGCAAACAGGAUUAGAUACCCUUGUAGUC